rnacentral:piRNA from 1 species
UGUGUUAGACAGAUAAAAAUCCACU